GGAAUGUGGAUACAGUGAAAGGGGAAAUGGGUGAGCAACACCAAAAGUCAUGUGAGAUGGAAAUGCCUUGUGAUGUUUGAACUUGGUUGAAAUUAGAUUCUACCACCCAAUGGAAAAAACAUCUUCAAACCACUGUGGGCGUCUAUAGUUUCAGACAGAUUUUGGGAGCUCAAAUUUCUUCAGAUUUUGCGCAUGGGAAGAUUGCUGUGGGCCUGCCCUGUGCCAAAGCUCUCCAGGCAAAGUGUCCAUUCCAUUACUCCUGCAGACUUUGGAACAAGCCACAUAAGGAACAGAUGGAACUAUUCAGGGAGUGAUCACUUUGUUCAUAUUAUACAUAUAUGAGCUUCCAGAAUGCCAAAGCAGGUGAGGGUUGUGGUUCCUAAUAAAAAAACAAUGGCAGGUAUAUAUAAAAGCACAAUGCCUGCGUCAGUUUGUGGGAUUCUCUCUUUCUUUAGC